rnacentral:rRNA from 1 species
GACGAACGCUGGCGGCGUGCUUAACACAUGCAAGUCGAACGGAAAGGCCCUGCUUUUGUGGGGUGCUCGAGUGGCGAACGGGUGAGUAACACGUGAGUAACCUGCCCUUGACUUUGGGAUAACUUCAGGAAACUGGGGCUAAUACCGGAUAGGAGCUCCUGCCGCAUGGUGGGGGUUGGAAAGUUUCGGCGGUUGGGGAUGGACUCGCGGCUUAUCAGCUUGUUGGUGGGGUAGUGGCUUACCAAGGCUUUGACGGGUAGCCGGCCUGAGAGGGUGACCGGCCCCAUUGGGACUGAGAUACGGCCCAGACUCCUACGGGAGGCAGAAGUGGGGAAUAUUGCACAAUGGGCGGCAGCCUGAUGCAGCAACGCCGCGUGCGGGAUGACGGCCUUCGGGUUGUAAACCGCUUUCGCCUGUGACGAAGCGUGAGUGACGGUAAUGGGUAAAGAAGCACCGGCUAACUACGUG